CAACUGUGAGAAAACGUCAUUCAAAUUCAGCCAGCAUCUCAUCAAGCCCUCCAUGGUGUUUCUCAAAACAGAAUUAUCUUUUGCUCUGGUGAAUAGGAAACCUGUGGUACCAGGACAUGUCCUUGUGUGUCCACUACGGCCAGUGGAGCGUUUCUGUGACCUGCGUCCUGAAGAAGUAGCUGAUUUGUUUCAGGUGACCCAAAGAGUUGGAACACUGGUGGAGAGACAUUUCCAAGGGACCUCUCUGACCUUUUCCAUGCAGGAUGGCCCCGAAGCUGGACAGACUGUGAAGCACGUUCAUGUCCACAUUCUUCCCAGAAAGGCUGGAGACUUUCACAGGAACGACAGCAUAUAUGAUGAGCUGGAGAAACAUGACAAAGAGGAAGAAGAUACCCCGGCCUCUUGGAGGUCAGAGGAAGAAAUGGCAGCAGAAGCAGCUGUCCUCCGGGCCUACUUUCAGUAACAAUGGUGUGAAAGUAAUUCAAAUCUCAAGACAUAAGGAAAUGAGCCUCAU